CACGCUUAAAAGCGUCUUUCACGAGAAGGUUUCCAAGCAAGAACGAAGUGCUUUCAACGAGCUUUUGCAUCUCUUCAUUUAAGUUCAUUGCAAGGAUUUUAACUCCAAGUGAGUUAAUAUUGUUUUACGAAGUUUGGAAGCAUACGAGGUUGAACUGUGAUGGAGUGGAGGGUGCUGAUCCAAGUGUGGCUUACUCUUGUGUCUAUAUAGUACUCUCGGAGGUUCAUGUCUUCAUACAUGGAACCACGUUCGAUUGUUUCCGCUGUGCUAUUUAAACAAGUUAAAUCUUGUUUUUCCCCCUAUGACUCUGACACUCAAUAAACAACCUUUAACUCGAAUCUUUAUGAUCGAGUGUAUCCUAUUCAAGUGUUUCAUUUGAGAUGCUUUGUGAUCAUAUGAAUUGUCCAUAUACCUCUUCUUAAUUUCCACCCCUAAUCACGAUUAACCGAGUUUUACUAUUCUUAGUAAAAUGCGGUCGUGACAGACAGGG